AAGUCGUAACAAGGUAACCGUAGGUGAACCUGCGGUUGGAUCAUUACCAAUUUAUAUACUAUGUUUUUUUCCUUUUGAUUUUUAUAAUCGGAGGGGGGGAAAUGUAUGUAUACAAAACCCAAAUGUGAACUUGUAAUUGUUUUUGGUAGUAUUCUUUGAUCUUUGCCAAAUUUUAUGGGGCCCUUCCUAAAAAAAAAGGGCUAUCGAAGAACUAUCAAAGGGAAAAGAAUAUUUUCUCAACUUUAUCAAACCCAAAAAAUCUUCUUUUUUUUUAAAAAGUCUUAUUUUUGAGUUUUUGACUGAUUUCUUUUAUUGUUUUAUUACAAAAAGAAGAGAGAGGAUCAAAAAUUUCUUAAAAGCCAAUUGAAAAAACAACUUUUAACAACGGAUCUCUUGGCUCUC
rnacentral:misc_RNA from 1 species